UACGUAGGGAGCAAGCGUUGUCCGGAAUCAUUGGGCGUAAAGCGCGCGUAGGUGGCCCGGUAAGUCCGCUCUGAAAGUCGGGGGCUCAACCCUCGAAUGCCGGUGGAUACUGUCGGGCUAGAGUGCGGAAGAGGCGAGUGGAAUUCCUGGUGUAGCGGUGAAAUGCGCAGAUAUCAGGAGGAACACCGAUUGCGAAGGCAGCUCGCUGGGACGUUACUGACGCUGAGACGCGAAAGCGUGGGGAGCAAACAGG
rnacentral:rRNA from 1 species